GAUGAACGCUGGCGGCGUGCCUAACACAUGCAAGUCGAGCGAACGGACGAGAAGCUUGCUUUUCUGUCGUUAGCGGCGGACGGGUGAGUAACACGUGGAUAACCUACUUAUAAGACUGGGAUAACUUCGGGACACCGGAGCUAACACCGGAUAAUAUCUUGAACCGCAUGGUUCAAAAGUGAAAGACGGUCUUGCUGUCACUUAUAGAUGGAUCUGCGCUGCAUUGGCUGGUUGGUAAGGUAACGGCUUACCAAGGCGACGAUGCAUAGCCGAGGUGAGAGAGUGGUCGGCCACACUGGAGCGGAGACGGCGACCAGGCUCCUACGAGAGGCAGCAGUAGGGUAUGGUCCGCAGUGGGCGGGAGCAUGACAGAGCGACGCGGCGUGAGUGGUGGCGGUCUUCGGAUCGUGAAGCUCUGUUAUGGGGUAAGAACAUAUGUGUAAGUUACUGUACACAUCUUGACGGUACCUGGUCAGGAAGCCACGGCUAACUACGUG
rnacentral:rRNA from 1 species